UCUCGGUUAGUAUAGUGGUCAGUAUCUCCGCCUGUCAAUUGGUAUCGCCAUUGAUCAGCCCGCGGAAGACCCGGGUUCGAUUCCCGGACCGAGAG